rnacentral:rRNA from 1 species
UACGAAGGGGGCUAGCGUUGCUCGGAAUCACUGGGCGUAAAGCGCACGUAGGCGGAUCUUUAAGUCAGGGGUGAAAUCCCAAGGCUCAACCUUGAAGACUGCCUUUGAUACUGGGGAUCUCGAGUCCGGAAGAGGUUGGUGGAACUGCGAGUGUAGAGGUGAAAUUCGUAGAUAUUCGCAAGAACACCAGUGGCGAAGGCGGCCAACUGGUCCGGUACUGACGCUGAGGUGCGAAAGCGUGGGGAGCAAACAGG